CAAAUGUCAAAAAUUGGCCCUGCCCGGGGGCAGUGAUUCUCAUUAUGUACAUGUAGUAAAAACAGAAAAUAAAACAAAUUUUUUCUGAAUGGGAGAAAGCUAUAGCUUAGAUAUUUGACUUGAAAUGUUGUUUGGUGGACCUGUAUCAAGAUUGUUAUUAAACCCUUGGGUCAAAAUUAUGCUUUGCCCAAGGGGACAGUGACCUACUUUCUUGUCCUUUGAUGUACAGCAAUGACAUUUUGACGAUGUGCACAGUUUUAGUUGUAAAAUUGAACUUUGACCUAGAUUUUGAUGAUGUGACCUACUUUCUUGUCCUUUGAUGUACAGCUAUGAAAUUUGAACCAUGUGGUGGCAUAGCAUUUUUCUCAAAUGCAAUCUUGUUCAGUUAUUGCCCUUUGUUAUUUUCUGCCAUCAGUAUUCACAUAGGUUUCAAAUCUGUAAUCACUAUAGCUAUCAGUUUUCAUUACCAAAAGAUUUCUUAAAAUGGAAUUAUUCUGCUCUACUACAUAUACAUUCUUCCAAUGAGCAAACACAUUCGGCGGGGGAUGGCCAUGUUGACAUGGCUCUUGUUCAUUUUGACACUUUGAACUUUGUCCGGGACAUUACUCUAAAAUUAUAAGAGAUAUCAACAUGAAACUUUGUAGAUAGAUAGGUCUUAUUGGGUAGAAGUGCAGUGCUUAAGAAUCAUUACUCUGCCUUGCCUUAUUUUGAAGUUAUUGCCCUUUGUUCAUUUUUAGCUCGACUUUUUUUUGAAAAAAAAAGUAGAGGUAUUGUUAUAGUCGGGUCGGCGUUGCCGUUGCCGUCCGCAAACUUGUACCUGGAUCAUAACUUUUUUAUUUCUUGGUGUAUUGUCUUCAUACUUGGCCACAACAACCCUUGGGACAAGACCUUUCAGUAGACCACAAUAACCUUGACCUUCAUCCAUAAAUGACCUUGACCUUCAAGGUUAAAAGUCCAAUUUUUGCUUGUUCAUGCUGUUAUUGGCUGUAACUUUGUUAUUUUUGAAUGGAUUGUCUUCAAACUUGAACAUAAUAAUCUUCAAGGAUAUCCCUUAAAAAUAACCCGCCAGACUUUGACGUUCACUCAUAAAUGACCUUGACUUUGAAGGUCAAAUUAUUGAAAUUUUCAUUAUACCCCCACAAACGAAGUUUAGGGGGGGUAUAUAGGAGUCAGCUUGUUGGUCGGUCGGUUGGUCGGUCGGUCCGUCCGUCCGUUGGUCGGUCCACAUCAUGGUUUCCGGACGAUAACUAGAGUUUGGAAUGAGGUAUUGUAAUCAAACUUGGUAUAUAGCAACCUUAUGUGAAAACUCCGGUUGGUAUUGCAUUUGGACCCCCUGGGGUCAAGGUCAAGGUCACCGUUACUAAAAAUAGAAGAAUGGUUUCUGGACAAUUAAACUACAUUUAGGAAUGAGAUACUGUUAUCAAACUUGGUGUAUAGCAAGCUUAUAUGAAGACCUGGGUUGGUAUUGCAUUUGGACCCCCUGGGGUCAAGGUCAAGGUCACCGUUACUAAAAAUAGAAAAAUGGUUUCCGGACAAUAACUAGAGUUAGGAAUGAGAUAUUGUUAUCAAACUUGGCGUAUAGAAAGCUUAUAUGAAGACCUGGGUUGGUAUUGCAUUUGGACCCCCUGGGGUCAAGGUCAAAGUCACCAUUACUAAAAAUAGAAAAAUGAUUUCCGUACAAUAACUAGAGUUAGGAAUGAGAUAUUGUUAUCAAACUUGUGUAUACCCCCACAAACGAAGUUUAGGGGGGGUAUAUAGGAGUCAGCUUGUCCGUCGGUCGGUCCACAUCAUGGUUUCCGGACGAUAACUAGAGUUUGGAAUGAGGUAUUGUAAUCAAACUUGGUAUAUAGCAACCUUAUGUGAAAACUCCGGUUGGUAUUGCAUUUGGACCCCCUGGGGUCAAGGUCAAGGUCACCGUUACUAAAAAUAGAAAAAUGGUUUCCGGACAAUAACUAGAGUUAGGAAUGAGAUAUUGUUAUCAAACUUGGCGUAUAGAAAGCUUAUAUGAAGACCUGGGUUGGUAUUGCAUUUGGACCCCCUGGGGUCAAGGUCACCGUUACUAAAAAUAGAAAAAUGGUUUCCGGACAAUAACUACAGUUAGGAAUGAGAUAUUGUUAUCAAACUUGGUGUAUAGCAAGCUUAUAUGAAGACCUGGGUUGGUAUUGCAUUUGGACCCCCUGGGGUCAAGGUCAAGGUUAC